CUUAGCCUUAAUUAAUCAAUUCUUAAUGCCAUUGAAUGGCUUUACUAUCCAUUUGUAACGUUGCAAUUUUAACCUAAUUAUCUUUAUUGUCUCCCAUCGAACUCUUCUACACUAGACCUUAGAAAUUCCAACUUGUCGAACGACUUCCAGGAAUUCCACUUAUCAGCUCUCGAAGCAGGGUCUUCCUCCUCAGUUAGAUCCACCCAUUUCUGUUUGGACAUUAUCUUUGAUUGUUGCAUGCUGAAUCCACCGAUGAGGUUCUUAAGUUUGUAGAUCAACUCUUUGAGUAAUCGUUGCCGCCUAUUCUUCGCCUCCUGAACUAUCUAUAUUAGCGCACGUUUGAGCUCUUGGUGACUAGCUCCUUUCACCAUUCGCAAGAUCGAAUGUUUUGAAACUAAUUGAUGCAACCUCAAUUAUAUUCAAAAAACAGAUUAACGAUUUGAGAAGAAAAGAAGAUUUUACAGAUAGAAAACAUUAAGAGAUUCCAAAAAAAUAUAAAAGAGUGGAGCACCGAAGAAAUGUUCGUACAUUUAUUUGUGCAUGGAUUUUUUCAAAAGAAGAUCCUCUUUUAGUUCACCUGAUUCCUCACCCCUCAGCUGUUUUUUCGUGUAGUUUCAUCACCACCAACUUAUUUUUAUAACGAAAAAUAAUGGUAAAUCUUACACAACCACAUCCCUUUUUAUUUAAAAACCCACAUUGAAAUGCAGCUUUUCCCCAGUUCUUUAAUGACCGUUGCCAGACUGUGUUGUAUCAUACAGAAAACGAUUCCAAUUCUUAUUCAUCAGUGAAUGUUAGAGCACAACAAAACAAUGGGCAUCCAAGGCACUUCUAAAAGUUGUCAUUUCUCACUUUCGAAGUCGCACUAAUCGAUACUGAAUUCGCUUUUUUAAAAAUGCUUUUCAAGUUAUAGGUUAUGGUAAUUUUUAUGAAUGCCUUCCAAGUGUCUGUCAAUUUGUCCAGGUCAAUAAUUGCAGAGAGAAUGAAGGUGAAAGUAGUGUUUAAAAAAGUGUACGAUUACAUUCGCUAUGACUCGAAAGAAAUUGUGUUUCCCUCUUCAGUUCCCGACCCUCUCACAUUAAAAAUCUUCGCAAAUUGACUUGAAACUAGCUUUUUCUAGGCGGUGUUGAAGGAGGCCUCAAGGCUUUAUGCUGCAAGCUGGGUACGAGAUAUUGGUCCUUAUUUUCACCCAAAUGAUUGUAAGGAUGACGAGAGUGAUGUUAAUAGAGCUAAUGGUGGCAAAAUUGCGACUAAAGAAAAAGAACCAUCUGUGGUUGAAGAUCUUGUUGAGCAAUUUCUAUCUCAUAUAUGCUAAGUUCAAGUAUUUAACUAUUCGUCUUUUAUAGUUUAUAGUGUUUUUGAGUGCGGUUCCAACACCAUUUUAAAAGUGUUUUGUGGUUUUUUCUGUUAAUUUUGAUGUUUGAGUGGGAUGGUCUUUGGAGAAACAUUUGAUAAGUGAUUUUCUAUAAAACAUUUUAGACAUAAAAAAGCAAAAGCCUUAGAAAACCACCUUUAUAGGUGAGAAGUUUCGCCAUUAAACUAACGAAGUUUACAAGUAACCUAAUUAGUGUUUUCUUAUGAUUUAUGGUGAAUUUGUACUGUUUAAUAGUUAUAGAUGUGUUUUUUUAAGUGCUUUUUGAAGAAUCAUUUGAUGAGCUCUUUUCUUCAAAAUCUGGUUAUAGCUAAGAAAGGCGCUGCAAGUAUUUGAUAGAAAAGCACUUCAUAGGUGGUUUUCAAAAAAAAAAAAAAAAGAACAAUUCUUAGUGCUUCUGAAGAAGCAUUACAAGCACACCCUUUAUUUAUUUUCUUAGCAAUUAUAUUAGGUAGAUUAUAUUUAGUUGCUAACAACUGUACCCGGUGUCCAUAUUACCCCAGUCUGUAUAAGGUUGUAUUUAAAUGCUUGAAUAUUAACUUCAUGUGCACUUCAUAUAUACUUGACCCUGAAAAAUAUAGGAAAUUGACCAUUUAUGUGCUUCUUUGAAGAAUUUUGCUUGUUUUAAAGACAAAACUCUGUUAAAAUUUCCUAGAAGAAGAAUAAAAUAAAGAUUUGAAAGAAUAACAUAAGUUUCCACUCAUUAUCCAGUUAUGUGCUCUCACCUGUCUACAAUAUAAGUGUUUGAUUCGUCAUGUAGAGGCUAGUUAGUAAUAAUCAUAUUAAUUGGUAUAAAUGAUUCUAAGGAUAUGUGUGAGUUGUUUGCUGCUUUGAAUUAAUUUUACAAGGGGAUAUGAUCAUUGGUCAGUUUUGAGAAUGGAAGAAAAGUUGCAGAUAUCAACUAAUUUUGGAUUUUGUUCGGUGGGUUGAAAACUAGGCUUGCACGACCAUUAAGAAUUUUAAAGCAUUGUUUAUAUUCCUUUCUAACAACAAAACUUGUAAUCCUUAGCCUUCUAUGAGUUUUCUCAGGCGCAUGCGUUGACAAUACUGUACAGAGAUCAUGGAGUUGCUUAAGCUUUUUGAUCUGUAGUUGAUUGGCAUAGGCCAUUGACUCAAGGCAAAAGCCUUUUUCUGUGGAUGAGACUAUUUUCACUCUUGAAAACACUGUGUGCACCCAUUUUUCUAGGUACACACAUUAUCAGAAAAUUUAAAAUGAUUUUUAAUCAUCUUUCAACUAAAAUUUUGGUUUUUGUUGUAUCUUUUUGCUCAAUUAAGCAUUAAUCUAUUUAUUUUAUACUGAAAUUAUAUAAACUUGUGACGUAUAAAUCUGGCUUUUAAAUUUUUGGUAGCGGAUGUACUUGAAAAUGGGUGUUCAGAAUAGUUUCUCAUGGGAGUUUAAGGUAGGUGUUUUCAGUAGCAUAAAGGGAUUUUUAUGGAGGGAAUUUCGUAAAUGCUAGUCAAAUGGAAAUGCAGGUCAAUUCGAUAUACAUUUUUGUGUCUUUUUAAGGUUUGUGGCUUAAAUAUGGUGUUUGGCUGUCAUACUUGCAUCAUACUGGAAAUAUAACAGAAGUCUUUAUCCCUGUUAAAUAAUGACCAUUGCUGGAUGGACUGUUUUGCUCUGUGCAAUUUGUCCAGAGCUUUGUUGGACAAUGUUUGCUGGUAUAAAAUUAUUAGCGGUGGCUGCUGGAGGAGGAAUGGAGAAAUUCAGGCCAGCUUCUCAUUGAAUCUACAUUACAGAAGCUUCCACAUAUAAUGAUGCUCCCAACAGUUUCAUAGCAGGGUAUCAAGAAGGGAUCCAGUAAGACAUGGCGAAGGAGAAUGCUAAACUCAGCAAGAAGGCGAUAUCCCAAAAACUCAACUAUUCUUCACUUGGCAGUAUAUGCGAGUAUCACUCCAGCAAUGUACUAUUGAGAACAAAUUAACAAUUUCCUGCUUCUGGGUGCUGGAAUUUACCAGUGUAAUCCUGCCAAUUUGAGGGUUCUACUCUGCUGUAUAUGAAUAUGAUUGAAUUUUUUCUUAUAAUUUCUUCUGGAUUCUAUUUUUUCCAUUCCUUAUACUGUCCUUGAUAUUUAUGUUUCACACAAGUAAUUUUUGGCUUAUUGGCAGUUAUCACCUCUGUUCUGUAUUAUUAGGUUUUUUUUUUUAAAUCAGGGACCAAAAUUACUUCAUGGAACUUCGUUGUCAAAUAGUUGUAUCAUGUCAACUAUAGUUUAAUGGCACUGGUUGAUUGCAACAUGAGUUAAAGAUUUAUGUUGGGGAAAAUGAGCAAUAAAUUUUUUUAAAUAGUGAGAUUGCUGUUAAUGGUGUGGAAUUCUUAUCUUCAACUCUUUUCAGAAGCUGAUACUAAUACUGAUGGAAAUAGCGGAGCAUUCAGGAGACAAAUUCUGAACUUUAAUGGUGAAAAUUAAAAAAAGUGGUGAUUCUCUACAUUUUCUUAUUUUGCUAGAGUUGUAUAACUAAAGUUGCAAUUAUAUGGGCAUAAUAUGGGAAGAUAUAAUUUAAGCUUGUGUGCUGAGUGCUUCUAAUCAGCUUUUUCUUUAAUUAUUGGAAUAGAGUCAGACUUGGAUAAUCCCACAACAUUUAAUGGCUGGAGUUGUCUCACUGAUUCUCUCAGUUUAAUAUCUUUUUGUUCUCUUCACAGCAUUUUCUGGAAUUUGGUAGUCCUGGUCUUUUCUGUAAAACUACCUGUUUAAGAUUGAAUCAUCUAUUGAGAUGAUUUCUAGGUUUUGUAGAAAUAUAUGUGGCUGAACAUGUGUCGUCAGAUGUAAGGGUGAAGCAUGGAGCUUAAGGCCUCAAAAUUAGGAGUUGACUCUUACUAUUGACUGCUAACUUGCUUGCACAAAUUGCAUUUCUGCUUUUUUAACAAAGUAGCUCUUACUAUUUCAAGGGAGAACUCUAUUACUGGAGAUACAAUAUUGUAGGGAUAUAUCGUUGCAUUGGUGGGUUUUCCAAAUACCAGCAUCUGCCUCAUGACUGGUACUUUCUUGGAGUCUUUCUAGCACUUGUGCCUUGCUUUUAGGUAAUCCAAGGAACAUGAAACUAAAAUCUGUUUGCAUGAUAAAUUGUACAUUUUGUUGCAAAUUGCCAGGGAGCCUUUUGUACAAGGACUCAAGAUAAUAAAUAUAUUUUCUCAAUAUCAAUUGGAUUUUUAGUGGUUAUUUGGUGUUACCCCUACAGAUAUGCCUUUUCGGAUUUGGAACAGUUUUGGUUUCUUUAAGAUAUCAAGCCAGCUUUUACCAAAGUGAGGUUCUACUAACAUCGCUUUUCACUUUUCUGUGACUAUCUCAAUGAUGUCGAGCCUUUUUCUUAAUAUCAAUUGGAUUUUAACAGUGCUAAGGCACAUAUGAACAUCAUUUAUUCUUUUUGGCUCCUGAGUUGAUUAGAGUUAGGGAAAAGAGUUCCUUUUUCCUUGACAGGUGCAGGAGGUGAAGGUAAGGCUGAACAAUUAGCUCCAAUUUCGAAAGGGCAGCUGGACUGACAAGACAAAAAGGCAAGUGGGAUAAAGAUGUACUCACAUGGCUUUUCUAGAUUUUUACUGUACUGAGUCAUGCAUGAUUGAAUUAUUUGCACAGGACAAAUACAUUACAAAGGAGGAGCCCCUCAAUGCUUUGAUUGGUCACCAUAGUAAUGCCAAUGAUAACACAUGUUCGGGGACCUCCCACUAGCAGAGUCACUAAACAUUAGAGCCAUCAGCAGCAAAGGUCAACGGACGAGUCUCUUGAUUGAAACAAUAUGGGCCACGAUAAUCACUUGGGACUGUGUUUGAUUAUUCAUACAGGUAGUGUAUAAAAUCUGCACAUUUUGUCACUAUUCAUCUGCCUAUAUUGUUUGCUGUUAAUUCACUUGAGAGGUAUAUAUAACAUGUUCGCACAUGCUAAAGCCUGUAGCCACUAUCCUACCCAAAAUGAUUAGUAAUUGUUUUGUUUUA